ensembl:lncRNA
UUUAAUUUGUGUACUGAAGAUGAACAAAUCUCUUGCUGGUUUGGAAUGACAUGAGGUUAAGCACCCACCACCGUUAUGCUGACUGGUCUGGCCAAAGUAAAGACAGGAAACACAUUUCCAUUGACGUCAAAAUGCGAAUCUUUCCCACAAACUGUGGUUUUGUUGUGGGAUUCUCAAAGACCACCAUUAUUAGAGGUUUCGGAAGGGUGAUAUAUAGAAAAUAAAUAUAUAAAUAAUCGAUCCUGCAUCCAAGAGCCACAACAAAAGGCUUCCAUUAGAAAUAGAACAAGAUGAUGAAGGAAAACAAUGACGCCAUUUUCAAUUAAUGGUAAGAGCAAGAAGAGUUCACAUGGGAUGCUGAGGUCCCAAAGGACAACUGGGUGAAGCAUGCUGUGCUCAUCAAAUACCAAUAAAGGAAGGAACUUCAAAUCAAUAUGGUAUGUUAACUAGAUGAGCUGAGGAGAACAAGCCAAUCUGUUGUUUUGGCUCAGACUUUCGUCUUGAACAAAGUAAAAAGAAAGAAAAGUUAAAUCAUUUCCAACAACCAGUCCCAAGUUUUUUUUUGCCUGUGGUCUAUGCUGAAAUUUGUGUGCGGUCUACAGACAUCCACAGAGACUGUAAUCACAUUGUCUCCAAUUGACAGACUGGCUGAUAAGGAGUAUUACAAAAAAUAUAAUCUUCUUAUGUCUCAUGUCAAGUCCUGAGCGAGAAGGCUAAUAAGAAAAGAUUGACCUCUGUGUUGCUUUGCAAUCCCAUGUCCUCUCCUCAACUGCCUUUAUCUGACCGUCACACCUGGGCAAAUCAUCUUUCCAUCACUCAUCAUCUUGGCAUAUUUCUAGACACCUGUUGAGUCUGAUCAAGCCAGCUCAUCACAAGGGGUUUCAUUACAACCAAACUAUUUCAAGUCGAAUACUCCUCUUUGAUCACUGGACUUUUUUGUCUUAUGUCAGCACUCCAGAGAUGGUGAAAGGUACAUGCAAGGGGCCGUCAGGAGUGUUUUGUAGGAUUGAGGGAGAUGGAAAUGAGGAGAGCAAUGGAGCUGCAGUCACCAGUGCCGGAAGCCCACCCUUUAGCUAAGGCCACAGACUGCAUGUUUCAACAAUAGACAGUUAUUCGGUCAAAUGAUGUCCACAAACGCUGGAAAAUCUCAUCCAAAUGCAGCUUUCUGACAUUUGAUUCACUUAAUAUACAGCUCUUCCUAAAGGAUUCCUCAUCAAAACACACUCAGGCCUCUUGAUGACGGAUUGCAGCGUCACAGUUGACUUGAAGAGAACGUCAGACUUGCGGUCCUGGUUCUUCUCAGAGACCACUCCACAGAACAAAUCAGAGAUCAGAGAGGAAGGAAAUGAGUUUAAAAGGCAGAUUCAAAAAGAGGACGGGUUCAAAAAUAGCCAGGGGAGUCUGAUGGAAAAAUCAACAGAAGCGGUCUACCAGAACUCAUCUAGAUGUACAAUUAGUGCUUCAACAGAGGCGAGAGAGGGUUGAGAAAUUCCAGUAAAAGGAACCUCGGUUUCAAUUACAAAAUGGUAUUUAAAAAAAGAUAUAUACACUGAAAAAAGUUUUUCAUUCAUCCAAUUAAAAAAAAUUAGGGUAAUGAUUCACAUUUUAAC